rnacentral:tRNA from 1 species
GGGUUAAUGGUCUAGUGGUAUGAUUCCUGCUUUGGGGUGCAGGAGGCCCUGGGUUCAAUUCCCAGUUGACCCC